GCAGGCCCUGGGGGGCGGGGCGAGGGCUGAGCCACAGCAGGCCGGCUGCGCCCCCUUCACACACCGAGCCCAGCUUCCCCGCCCCCGGAGCACCCCCCAGCGGUACCUUAAGCAGUCGUCUGAGCAGGGCCUUGUCUCGGUGGAGGCUCAGACCCGGAGAGGCCCCGCGUUCCCAGGACCCUUGGGUGGAGGCCGGGGACCUCACCUGGCAUCUUGGGCUCCCCGAUGCGGAGAACGUGGGGCCAGUGCUGGAGCGUUUUGAUAAAGAAAGGGACCUGACUUCCUGCCCACGGUGCCCACUUCCUCUGGGGGCAGACAUCGGGGCACCGGGCUCCUCUUCUGCAGACUCUCCCUCUCAGAACGGGCGGGGGGUUAACUCCUGAUGUCCCCCAGCGCCCCCACCCCGAUGGGCUGAGCCCCGUGGGAUCACUCAUCACCUACCGGGGCAGCAGGUGGUGGCCUGCCUGGCUCACCUGAACAGGUCCAGCUCAUGGACACUGACUGUGAACACAGGUGGCCAGCGUCAGAAGCCUGUCCUGGAGGAAGCUGCCCGCCGGAGCCACCAGGAGCUACAGCUGGGAUGAUGACGAGGCAGCUC